AGUGUGGCUGAAGGGCUGGUUACUGAAGACACUCUCAAACCAUCGUUAAAAGAGCCCUAAGUAUUUUUGUUCCUGAAUGCUAUGUGACACUUGUCAUGGUGGCAGUUGUAGUGCAUGUUGAACAUGGAGACAGGACCUGCUUGCAAUGACAACAGCAACAGCCUGGGAUUUGGACAACCUUGCUGUGAGAGGGAGUCACCUCACAGCUAAGGGUGAACAAAGAAGAAUGCCCAGGAUUUACCAGGACACUGGUGGACCUUCAUCAUUCAGAUCCUAAAAUGCACCCUGAGCGGACCAGGCUGCAGAGAGAGACGCAGACGGCAUCUCCAUCUCUGCUGACUUCAGCUAAAUCCUGAACACACCUAAGAUGUGGACUUGGGUUCUUUCUCUCGUCCAGUCCCUCAUGUCAUUUUCCUUUCCCACUUACUUCUCAUCUUUCCUGUCUUUCUGUUGCCUUCUGUCCAAUAAAAGACUCUUAUGGCUUA